GAUUGGCUAAUACCCGCAUACGUCCUGAGGGGGAAAGCAGGGGAUCUUCGGGCCCUUGCGCUAUUUGAGCAGCCAAUAUCUGAUUAGCUAGUUGGUGGGGGUAAAGGCCCACCAAGGCGACGAUCAGUAGCGGGUCUGAGAGGAUGAUCCGCCACACUGGGACUGAGACACGGCCCAGACUCCUACGGGAGGCAGCAGUGGGGAAUUUUGGACAAUGGGGGCAACCCUGAUCCAGCCAUGCCGCGUGUCUGAAGAAAGGGCUUCGGGUUGUAAAGGACUUUUGUUAGGGAAGAAAAGGGAAGUGCUAAUACCACUUUUUGCUGA
rnacentral:rRNA from 1 species